rnacentral:tRNA from 1 species
GCGCCCGUAGCUCAGUGGAUAGAGCACAAGAUUGCGGAUCUUGGGGUCGGAGGUUCAAGUCCUCUCGGGCGUGCCA